UAUGUGCUCCCUCCGUCCAGAAAUAUUUGUACUAGAAAUGGAUGUAUCUAGACUCAUUUUAGUUAUAGAUACGUCCAUUUUAUUCAUUUCUAGGACAAGUAUUUUCGGACGGAGGGAGUAUGCG
rfam:Hordeum vulgare subsp. vulgare, WGS project CAJW01000000 data, contig: morex_contig_171087